GAGUUUGAUCAUGGCUCAGGAUGAACGCUGGCGGCGUGCCUAACACAUGCAAGUCGAACGAAGCUCUCUUGUUUAAGACUUCGGUCAAGAAGAAGAGAUGACUUAGUGGCGGACGGGUUAGUAAUGCGUGAGCAACCUGCCUCGGAGUGGGGGACAACAGCUGGAAACGGCUGCUAAUACCGCAUAACGUGCAGAGGGGACAUCCCUUGUGCACCAAAGAUUUAUCGCUCUGAGAUGGGCUCACGUCUGAUUAGUUAGUUGGUGAGGUAACGGCUCACCAAGACUGCGAUCAGUAGCCCGGACUGAGAGGUCGAACGGCCACAUUGGGACUGAGAUACGGCCCAGACUCCUACGGGAGGCAGCAGUGGGGAAUAUUGGGCAAUGGGC
rnacentral:rRNA from 1 species